rnacentral:rRNA from 1 species
AUGAACGCUGGCGGCGUGCCUAAUACAUGCCAGUCGAGCGAACGGACGAGAAGCUUGCUUUUCUGAUGUUAGCGGCGGACGGGUGAGUAACACGUGGAUAACCUACCUAUAAGACUGGGGUAACUUCGGGAAACCGGAGCUAAUACCGGAUAAUAUUUUGAACCGCAUGGUUCAAAAGUGAAAGACGGUCUUGCUGUCACUUAUAGAUGGAUCCGCGCUGCAUUAGCUAGUUGGUAAGGUAACGGCUUACCAAGGCAACGAUGCAUAGCCGACCCGAGAGGGUGAUCGGCCACACUGGAACUGAGACACGGUCCAGACUCCUACGGGAGGCAGCAGUAGGGAAUCUUCCGCAAUGGGCGAAAGCCUGACGGAGCAACGCCGCGUGAGUGAUGAAGGUCUUCGGAUCGUAAAACUCUGUUAUUAGGGAAGAACAUAUGUGUAAGUAACUGUGCACAUCUUGACGGUACCUAAUCAGAAAGCCACGGCUAACUACGUG